rnacentral:rRNA from 1 species
UACACACCGCCCGUCACACCAUGGGAGAUGGUUUUACCUGAAGACGGUGCGCUAACCGCAAGGAGGCAGCCGGCCACGGUAGGGUCAGCGACUGGGGUG